rnacentral:piRNA from 1 species
UAUCAAGAAAGUGAAUGGAUGGCUCAGG